rnacentral:rRNA from 1 species
UACGUAGGUGGCAAGCGUUGUUCGGAAUUAUUGGGCGUAAAGGGCGCGUAGGCGGAUGAGCAAGUCUGCUGUGAAAGCUCCUGGCUUAACCGGGAGUGGUCGGUGGAAACUGCUCGUCUGGAGGACGGUAGAGGUAGGUAGAAUUCCCGGUGUAGUGGUGAAAUGCGUAGAGAUCGGGAGGAAUACCUGUGGCGAAGGCGGCCUACUGGGCCGGACCGGACGCUGAGACGCGAAGGCGUGGGGAGCGAACGGG